UUCAAUAUUGCAUAUCCAAUUCCACUUUUUAUUUAUUCUAAAAUAAAAUAAGAUUGGAACAAAACUUAUUACUACAUAGUACUCAUUUAAAAAAAGAAAAGUUAACAUUAAUUAGAAAUGCUCUAAAUCACAUAACUAAUAAGCUACUAUAACUGGUGCAAGAUAUAGUGCAUCAUUAUAAUGACUUUUAAUCUAUAUUUAAUGUUUAGAAGGAAAAAUAAAAUAUCGUUGGCUCUUAGUAUACAUAUAACAAAUAUAUGC
rnacentral:lncRNA from 1 species